rnacentral:tRNA from 1 species
AACAAGGUGGCUGAGUCGGAGGCGGUAGAUUGUAAAUCUACUUACAAGUUUAUACUUUCUUGUUA